rnacentral:rRNA from 1 species
UACGGGGGGAGCAAGCGUUGUUCGGAUUUACUGGGCGUAAAGGGCGCGUAGGCGGCCACCGCAAGUCGACUGUGAAAUCUCCGGGCUUAACCCGGAACGGUCAGCCGAUACUGCGGGGCUAGAGUGCAGAAGGGGCAACUGGAAUUCUCGGUGUAGCGGUGAAAUGCGUAGAUAUCGAGAGGAACACCCGUAGCGAAGGCGGCACUCUGGGCCGAUACUGACACUGAGGAGCGAAAGCGUGGGGAGCGAACAGG